GGCGAACGCUGGCGGCGUGCCUAAUACAUGCAAGUUGAGCGCUGAAGGUUGGUACUUGUACCAACUGGAUGAGCAGCGAACGGGUGAGUAACGCGUGGGGAAUCUGCCUUUGAGCGGGGGACAACAUUUGGAAACGAAUGCUAAUACCGCAUAAAAACUUUAAACACAAGUUUUAAGUUUGAAAGAUGCAAUUGCAUCACUCAAAGAUGAUCCCGCGUUGUAUUAGCUAGUUGGUGAGGUAAAGGCUCACCAAGGCGAUGAUACAUAGCCGACCUGAGAGGGUGAUCGGCCACAUUGGGACUGAGACACGGCCCAAAAUCCUACGGGAGGCAGCAGUAGGGAAUCUUCGGCAAUGGACGAAAGUCUGACCGAGCAACGCCGCGUGAGUGAAGAAGGUUUUCGGAUCGUAAAACUCUGUUGGUAGAGAAGAACGUUGGUGAGAGUGGAAAGCUCAUCAAGUGACGGUAACUACCCAGAAAGGGACGGCUAACUACGUG
rnacentral:rRNA from 1 species